rnacentral:rRNA from 1 species
GGAGGGAUCAUUACACAAAUAUGAAGGCGGGCUGGAACCUCUCGGGGUUACAGCCUUGCUGAAUUAUUCACCCUUGUCUUUUGCGUACUUCUUGUUUCCUUGGUGGGUUCGCCCACCACUAGGACAAACAUAAACCUUUUGUAAUUGCAAUCAGCGUCAGUAACAAAUUAAUAAUUACAACUUUCAACAACGGAUCUCUUGGUUCUGGCAUCGAUGAAGAACGCAGCGAAAUGCGAUAAGUAGUGUGAAUUGCAGAAUUCAGUGAAUCAUCGAAUCUUUGAACGCACAUUGCGCCCUUUGGUAUUCCAAAGGGCAUGCCUGUUCGAGCGUCAUUUGUACCCUCAAGCUUUGCUUGGUGUUGGGCGUCUUGUCUCUAGCUUUGCUGGAGACUCGCCUUAAAGUAAUUGGCAGCCGGCCUACUGGUUUCGGAGCGCAGCACAAGUCGCACUCUCUAUCAGCAAAGGUCUAGCAUCCAUUAAGCCUUUUUUUCAACUUUUGACCUCGGAUCAGGUAGGGAUACCCGCUGAACUUAAGCAUA